AAUGAACGCUGGCGGCGCGCCUAACACAUGCAAGUUGAACGAGAAAGUCCUUCGGGGUGAGUAAAGUAGCAAACGGGUGAGGAACGCGUAAGAAUCUACCUAACAGUGGGGAAUACCUUCGAGAAAUUGAGGUUAAUACCGCAUAGUCUCGCAAGAGUAAAGGCGGCCUCAUGCUGUCGCUGUUAGAUGAGCUUGCGUCCUAUUAGCUAGUUGGUUGGGUAAUGGCUGACCAAGGCGAUGAUGGGUAGCCGGCCUGAGAGGGUGAUCGGCCACACUGGGACUGAGAUACGGCCCAGACUCCUACGGGAGGCAGCAGUGGGGAAUAUUGCGCAAUGGGCGAAAGCCUGACGCAGCGACGCCGCGUGGAGGAUGAAGGUCUUUGGAUUGUAAACUUCUGUUAAGCGGAAAGAAAGACCGCGGGUUAAUACCCUGUGGAGAUGACGGUACCGCUAGAGAAAGCACCGGCUAACUUCGUGCCAGCCGCCGCGGUAA
rnacentral:rRNA from 1 species